AUUGGAGAUCGUAUAGCGAUAUAUGUGAUCCUUGUCAUAUUCAAUAUGAUUACAUUGUUAAAUUAGAGACAAUUGCUUUGGAUUCUGAAUAUCUUGUUAAAAAAUUCGGAAUAAGUGAUGAUCUUCUUUUUGAACGCGAUUCGAAUUUAUCGGAGUCAUUGGGGCACAAGUGGAAAAGUAAAUACAGAACAUAUUUAGAAGGACUUCCUAUGAAAAAAUUGCAUGCUUUGUAUGAAACAUAUUGGGAACAAUAUAAGUUAUUUAAUUAUUCAACCCCCUCAUUCGUGGAAGUAUAAUGAAUGAAAAACUCAUGGAAAACAAAAUUUCCAUAACAAGUGAGGAUACAGAUAUCAAUUAAAAGCCAUUCAAGUUGAUGGGAACACAGGCUUAGGGGCGGACCUCAGGAGCCAUUAAGGUUGAACACAAACUCAUACUCCCGAAUUAGAAAUUAGUGCCCUUUCAUCACAAUUUGAGCGUUUUUAUAUACCAAUUCGAGUUUUCAGAUUUCUGAUUUUCUUUGUGUAUUUGUUUGUAUUUCAGUGUGAUUUGUUUGAAUACUCUUAAUAUGAAUCAAACUUAUCUGUGAGUGGAUGAUGAUGCCAAAAAUAUUUAAUGUCGUGACUCGUAUUGCAUUUUAUCUUCCUGGUACAUACAUACUGAAAAAAAUAAUAUCGAAU